rnacentral:lncRNA from 1 species
AUGCUUUAGAAGCUUGGAACAAGGUGUCUAUGUUGAGUUAUUACGUACCCGCAGUAGCAAACUCUAAAGAAUAAAUCAUGUCUCAAAUAAAUCAGUCUUAAAUUGUUAUUGUGACAUUGCAUAUGUGACAAUCCGUCUUUAAUUUUACGACUUUAUAAAUAUUAAAAGUGUGAAUUGACGAAAAUGCCCUAGAGACGAGAUUGUUAACUUUUGUUGACCGCCUUUGUGAAAUCUCAUCCCUGAAAUUUCACUAUUCAUUAUGUAUCUCAUUAUUUAAAUUCAUAUUUAAUGUUUACGUUAUCUUUAUUAGUUAAUUUUAAUUCCAUUAACUUGAGGAGUUAAAUCGAAUGAUUAUCGGGUUUGAAUUUUCAUAAUUAACCUUUAAAAUUCGUUGACCUAUCGAGGUCACAAGUAAUGUUUUCGAAUAGAUAUCAAAACCACGAACGCAUAGGCGAAAGCUGUUUGCGAGUCCGGAUUAUAACGGUAUAGUUACGGACGUUUGAAAUCGUUUUACUAAACUAUAGGUUUUGAAUUAAUUAAACUCCCACUAUGUGGGAAUGAGAACCAAUCAGAGGCUUGGUUUCGGCCCAAUCAGGUAUGUGUUAUUGAAGGGACCAAUCAAAUUAAAAGGGUGAUGGACCAAUCAAAAUUUGAGAAAAGAGGGCAACAACCAAUCAGGAAAAAGGGAUCCCUCCCCCUCCAUUCCCGUCGACCCGUGUACCCACGACUAACUCGAUCUAAUUUUGGGUUCCUCCUGCCAUUUUUUCCAUUGAAACACCACAUCCUCCACUUGCAAUCUCUUCCACAACCUCCCCUCUACCUUUCCCGCUCAAGAUUGAAGGGUUUUAGGUCCAAAAUCGGGAAAACUUCACCGGAGAACCCGAAGGUGCUCGACGGCAAUUCUGCCAUUCUGGUGAGUCUCACCACCCACCACCAUCCUUAAUUAACUCCGCUUGGACCUAGGAAUAAGACUCAACCAGUUGUAGGGGCAUUGGAACACCGAGGAAGUCGAAUUGAAGCUUAUCCAUUCUAGGGUUUCUGACGGGUGCGAGCCAAUUUAGGGCCUUUCCCAGCCAAAUUGGACUUCGCCACAGGUAUAAAACUUGCUCUACUCAUUGAGAUCUUCAUUUCUGUAAAAUUUGAGAAUUUUUUGAAAUAGUUAAAUUUUCUGGCGAGUCGGGGCGGCCGACCGCAGCAUGCGGCGGCGCGUGGGCCGAGAGCCCACCUGACCUUCCUAGGUUAAUUUGGACGCCCCGAUUCCAUAUUAGACAUCCAAUUGACGAAAUUCCAUUGUUUGGUUAUAUUUCCGUUAAGGGCCGCCACUUGGUUAUUAUAUGAUUCGACGAUCCGACCAUUGGAUUGUCACCAAACUUUAAUACGUAAUAAUACAUAAUAUUUAAGGAUAUUAGGAACUGACGGAUUGGGAAUUUGAUGUACGUAUCUUCCCAGAUGGAUUUUCUAAGUUUGUAAAUCUAAAUGUCGGCCUCCACUUAAUGUUAGCGAUUGGCGAAGAUUCGACUAUUGGAUCAUUCUGAAACUUUAGGAUGUUGUUCUAGAAGCUCAUUGAAACUCUUUGGAUAUUACGGAUCGGAUAUCCGAGGUGCGGAUCUUCCGGAUCGAGUUACGUAGGGUUGUGGACCCUACCGUUGAGUUUUGACUGACGAUUGACUUUUGGUCAAUGAGUUACUAAACAUUAUAGAAUGUCAUUAGGGAUGUAUUUUAUGUAAGUUACGUGUUCUAUCGAUAAGAAUUAUGAGAUAUGAUUUGAUAUUUGUUCUAGGCGACGAUCGUUCGUGACACUUCGAUAUUCGUGCUAGGGAGUUGUAGCGCAAAUUUCAGGUGAGUGGGUCUUUUCCUUUUUUUAUAAUAUGUAUAUACACACACACACACAUAUACGAUUGAUAGUUUCGAUUUAUGCAUUUGGAAGAGAAUUUCCUACGUACACCUGAAUUAGACUAAAGUUAUAAGAAUUAGAGAAAUAACGGAAUUUAUGAAAUAUGCUACAUCCUACGGGAUGCACAUGUAUGUCCUACGGGAUGCACAUGUAUGCUUAUAAUCUUUGAUGCCAUAAUUAUAUCUAUGGCUAUGAAUGUUAUUAUGUUGAUUAGAAUAUAUUGAAUCGUUAUGUUAUUAUGUUCACCUUUGCAUCGCACGCUCACCUUGGAUCCAAGUAGGUGCCAGUCUUGUCGUACAGGUUGCAUUAGGCAACUCCGACUCGUAGAUGACCGCGAAUAGCACCAGUCUUCAUGUGAUUGUAGCACUAGAGUGUAUAUUAUGAUUACACCUAGUCCUAUCAUACAGGUCACAUUAGGCGACUUUGACUAUUGUGCUAGCAUAGAUUGAUGAGCAUCAAUUCAGUCGUACAGGUCGUAUUAGGCGACUCCGACUUGUGUACUAGUGUAGAUUGAUGAGCACCUGAUUUUACUUAUAUUACUGUUGAGAUUUUGUGAUCUUGGAUGUCCUGCCCUUAGUUAUGAGAUAUUGUGCCGUAAUGAAUCUUGAGAUUUUGCAGGCUUCGGUAAUUAAUUUUUAUAGUAUACGUAGUAAGUAUAUUUUGGAAACUAUACUUGUUUUAUGGCGAGGAGUUACAAUGUUUUCAUAAAGGUUUUAUAAAACUUUAUUUUCAGGCCCCACUCACCCUUGUUUUUCGCCCCUUUAGGUUUUAAUAGCCGAGCUUUCUUAUCAACGAGGAUUCGUGAAAAAUCUUAGUAGUGGAGAUUACCUUCGAUUGUAUGAUUCUCAAUCCACUAUACUGUACUUUACUUAUGCUCUGACAUCACGGGUGAAAUGGGUUCAUUCCCACUCACAGUGCACUCUUAUAUCUAGGCACUUUUAGGUUUAAAUUUAUUCACAUUUUCGACUACACUACACUUUAUAGCUUCGUCACCUUCUAAGUGUUGGCCAGCACAGGUCGAUUCGGAGUCAAAGUGGGCAUUCUGAAUCGGGGUGUGUCAGUUUGGUAUCAGAGUAUAAGUUUGGGCAAUAUUGCAUUUAUCACGCGUGAAGUAAGCAUUCUCAAUUCUUAAGCCUAAAUGUUGAAUUUUGCCACCUCAUUGACUACCAAAAACAUGUUAGGUUUUCCUAAAUUUUGGGCAGAUUAGGCGACUUAUUGACAUUCAAGAAAAUUGUUUUGGCAACUGACCCUAGACUAUAAACGACGAACCUCCAUGCUAAGGAAAAUUUUGUUUUGGAAAUGAGUUGUUAGCCUUGCAGCCAGACUAAUGUAUCGAUAGUUGUGUAUCACCAGAGAAUUACCAAUCAAUCCAUCACUAUUUUCCAGCCAUCAUUACCAAACCUUUCCAAAUGGGGAAACCCCAAUUAGUUUUGAUUCUUUGGCAGUACCUAUUAAUAUAUCACUUAUUGGAAAUCCUAACGUAAGUUUUUCUUUUCGAAGAAAUUUCUAGAAAUGUCUCAUGUGACAACCUGGUACUAAAGUGGUAGCACUCGACAGGAGGAACAUUCGGGGGAACAUCACUUUUGGUCCCCGAUACCACUAAUCCUCUCAAGCACGUUAGUUAUAAUUUAAAGUCUUCAGGAGGAAGAUCGACUUACGUUAAGUCCGUUCUAAAGUGGAUUACUGGCAAAUUCUUUUUUCCGGCCUUAGGACAUUCCAACCAGCAUUAGUUCCUAAAUUUCCUUUCGAUGUUGUACUCGUCAUUUCGAUGAGUAUAGGCUUGUGACAAUAAGUUGUUAUACCUAUAGUUAGUAGAAAUCCUCGAAGUAGUAAGUAUUUUCUCUAGAAUUAAUGAAACCACAUCACCGGACCAGUUCCUUACCAAUCGUCCAAAACCAUCCACCUGAGUGGGUUCUAACCUGUAAUCAGCCUACAGUGGCAUUACUAAUUGACAAUACCGUCUGAUAUCCAGGAACUGUUAACCAAUAUUCAGGAGGUAUGAUUUCUGAUACAGGACACAAGUACUAGUAUCUGGGAGUGAUACCUUUAUGCAAGAACGCCGAUUCACAGUUUCAAGAUAACGAACAAUAUAAAAAAAAAAAUCGAAAAUAUCAAAUGUGCGUUAAUUAGUGGCACGACUAAUAGAUUGAUUUACAGUUUGAAUCGAAGAAACUAGACCUUGGAAACUUAGGAGCAAGCCUUUUAGGAGGAAAGUAAAUUCAUGGUUAUGUUAACCAAAUUACCUAGUUAGGAUACCUGAACAUUCUCAACAAGUCAUUCUUGUGGUCACAUCCACCGACAAACAUUAGAAUUGGGGAACGAGUUAACUUCCCCUGUAGAAACGAUCGAGUAUCGAAAAAGUUGUGAAGACCUAGUAGCACAUGGCAUAUUGGAAGGAAGUAGUGUGAUACAUUUUGAGGAAGUAUACCUUUGGCGUAAAUCCUUAAACUUUACCUAAGAUAUCACUAAGUGGAAAAGUAAGGUACACUAUUGAUCCAUUUUCUCAUACUACACUAGUUUUCUUGCAUCUUUCUUAGCAACUCCUACACCAUUUGAAGAAAUUAGUUACUAAAGCUUACCGAUUAGGGAUUUACCUAACCAAACAUUUUAUCUAGGGAACCUUAAAACCUAUCCGCGAAGGUGAAAGAAUGAACCAUAGGAUCGUACCUAGAUUUUAGCAACUCAAUCGGGUGAUGAUUAAAAACCAUUAACCCCUACUUCAAGUCGAUGGUAACUCCAACAAACUUUUGGAACUCAGAAUUUUCUCCUAGCUUGUCGAGUUCGACGUGGUCUUACUGAUGACUUUCUCUCCUACCCUAGUAACGAGAGUAAAUUUCUAAACACCGGCAACCAGUUUUAUACCAAAGUCCUCAACUGUCAACUUUGAUUAAAUUGGUACUUUUCUCGAGAUAUGUGAUUUAAGCAGACGAUGUUCUUUUCUUUUUCCAGAAAAGAUUGUAGCGGAAGAAAGUUGUAAUUCUCACAAGGUGUUGUGAAUUUCGAGACAAUCUUUGGUCUUGUCGACCUUAUUAACAAAUUGUUAUCGAUUUUUCAACUAUAGUGUUUUUCCUCACUUAUCGACUGAGGACGGUUAAUUUAGUUGAGAUGUUGAAUAUGAAUAAAGUUUCUGACAACCAAACAGUUGUCUCACCUCACCUAUGUUUUAUACCUUUCGAUGAUAUUGAUCAUUUUGAAAUCUAUGAUGAUGUAUUCUUUAGAUGUUUCGGUUGUGUAGAGACAGCAUGGCAUAUUAUCGCUUAUGUUUCCCAAUAGUUAAAACCGUUCGAAAUGAAUCAUCAUAUACAUAACCUAGAGUCAAUAUUUACCAUCUUUACUUCAGAACCGAAUGACACUUCUCUGUAGAGAAACGUGAUCUUUAUCAAUCUUAGACCUCGCAAGUACAUAUCCAUUUGAAAAGAAUUAGAUUUCUGGCAAUGGCGAUAGAGGAACCAAAUCAACAUCUACGAUUACACAAUUGUGUAUCAUCCCUGUUGUGUAAACGUAAUUACUUUUUACCAUAGCAAAAGACAUUAUCUACUCUCGAAAUGUUUUCAGCCUGUCCUAUUUCAUUUUAGUUAGAACUCACGAGCAUUGGGUUGAUGUUACUUAUGAAUUAUCAAGAAAUUGUUCGAGUGGUUAUACUCACUUUCUGUAUUCGAAUGGAGAUGGGAAAUAUCACCACAAGCUCUUGGUACGAGGUAUCUUGUACAUGUGGAUAUUAUGAUGAUAUUUCAGUGAUUAUAGAUCGACUUAACAAGUCAGCUCACUUUCCACUAGUCCAGAGGGACUACAUUUCUGGCCACUUAGUAAAAUUUCUCAUUCUUGAAUUUACCAGAAUUUUUUACAUUUCGAUCAAUAUCUAUUCUGACUAUGAUUUCAUAUUCACCUUUUAUGUCGAAAGGCAUUCCAGUCACUCUUGGGUAUGUGUCUACCCUAUUGCACUUCGUACUAAUUUUGAAGCAAAUAGACUGUUUAGUUGAAUUGCCCGAACAUUUAGAUUUUAAAUGUGACUAUUAAUUCCUCAAUCAACCAACAAAUACUAUGAUAAGCGAAUCUUUACCGUUGGUGAUUGAAUGUUCCAGAAGCUGCCGUUAUAGUAAGAUGUCAUGCAUUAAUUUCAAUUACCUUGUAUUAUAGAUUUGAUGGACUUGUUUGACCCUCAAAUUCUUGAUUGUUCUUCUUGGCAUAGUUUUGCUAAACUCGAGGAAAAUUCAAUAUGAACUUGCUCAUUAUGGCGUUAUGAAUUGCAUUGUUUGAUUAUAUGGUGUGUGUGUGUGUGUGUGUGUCACUACUAUAUCUCACCAUUACAUAUGUUUCAUUUCCAAGUCUUCGGGAAGCCUUCUUGAAGGCCAUGUGUAUUAAGCUUUGUCAUGUACCACAUUUCACCGCUCAGACUAACGAUUAGUCUGAAACAAGCUACUCAAACCUUAGUGGACAUGUUGCAUUUUGUCCGUUCUACAAUUAGCAUGGUUGUAACACAUAGUUAUCUUUAUUUUAGUUGCUUGUAACUACGGUUACAAUUUUUGGUUUUGGGUAUGGCAUUGUUAAGGCAUAGUAUGGAAAUUUUAUGCAUAGCACAUGAUUGACAAAAGAGUAUUGUGAAUAGGUAGUUGAAUGAUCGAGAUUACAAUGUAGCAAAUUGUGUGCUAUUUGCGUUGUUGCCCAAGAAGGCAGUACGUGAGUGCGAUUGAGGCGCUAAUUGGAUGGUUUAUGUGUAUUUCUCAAUGAGGGGCAUGAUGGUAAUAUUGCACAGUCAGGAAUUUGUUACUUACUUAUCUAGACAACUGUGAGUUGUCGAUAAUACGGGUUGCAGACUAUAAUAUCGAUAACUUAUUCGUUUGACUCAUUAAGCACAAGGUUCUAAAAAACGCUAGGUGCUAGUCGGACAGUGGACUAGGGCCUAGCGCCUAGGCAGCUUGGCGGACGCCUAGGCAGGCUAGGCAAAUUUACUUAAAUUUAUUAUAAAUUAAUUACAUAUUAAAAAAAAACAUGAAAAAAUAUGUUAUUUAAAAAAAAUAGUAUAUAUGAUGUUAGAGUUUUAAGUCCAUAGUUUGGUGUGGUGAUUGUGGUCAUAAAAAGAGAGAAACUUUCAAAAUAUCAAAAAUUCUCCCUCUCUAAUUGGGAUUUCCAAAACAAAACAAUCUAAUUUUUAAGAAUAAAAUAAUAUAAGAUAUUUUGAAUGAAUUUUGUAUUUGUAUUUAAUGUUUUUCUUAAACCACGUGGUGACCCUCCACCACAAGCCCUUCACAUCAUUCAAGGUCCCAAUCAUAUAUCAAACAUAAAAUAGUGUAAAAAAAUUAAAAGAAAAUUUAAUGAUAAGAGUAGUGCUGCGUGUAGGUUUGACGCAUUGGAAAGCGGAAGGCAAUUAUUUAGGGGUUUUCAUCCGUUUCCUCUUCCUCCUCUCACUUCAUCUUCUAUUUUGUUUUUGCUAUUUAUUAGGGGUUUUCAGCCGUUUCCUCUUCCUCAUCUCACUUCAUCUUCUAUUUUUUUUUGCUCUGUAAAUUUUCUCCUCAUUCGACGUAUUCCAAGCUUGCAAUCUAAAUGUUCUCUUUCUCCCCAUACUCCUUCUUCUCUUCAGAUCUACAAUUUUCUGCUAAAAAUACGACGACGAGUGAAAACGAAAGAUGCAACGCGCCAACAGCAACUAAAAACCAAAGAGCUAGUAUGCCGGAAAAAAAAAAUCAUCACCUUGCCCACUGCCUAGGUCGCCUAGACCGCCUAGAGAGCAUCUAGGCUGGUGCCUAACUCUUACCCGAUUUGGCUGGACAAUUUGGUUCAAAUCGCGGUGGCACUCUAGUGCCUAUGCCGAUUUUUAGAACAUUGGUUAAGUAAGUGAACAAUUAGGCCGUUUACGUUAGUUUAUUUAUUUAUUGUUUGGGCUCGACCCAGAGCUACUACAUGCUUAUUCUCGAAGUACGUGACUCUACAAGUGCGUAGGUGAAAUUUUUCUAUGUUCAAUUUUGACUUCAGUACAACUAUUUUAAAUUGUACAUUAUAUUAUAUAUGUAUUUUGACUAUAUGUUACUAUAUGUCUAUUUUGACUAGAUGUUUCCAUAAAGGAUUUUAUAAUGUAGUAUUGUAUUGGAGGAGAAGGAAAGUUUGAGUUUGGAGACAUGAAAGAGGAAUCACUGCACUCUGAUCGCGACGGAAUGACAUUCUCUUUUAUUCAACCACUCUAACUUGAUAUCUUCUUUACAUAUUUAUUUCCCUACUGUCUUUUCACUACUUUUGUAUAGCAAAUGAUUUUAAAUUUUUGGGACAAAAUUUUUUAAGGUGGGUAGAUUGUGACAACUCGUCCCUAAUUUUACGACUUUAUAAAUUUUAAAAGUGUGAAUUGACAAAAAUGCCCUAGAGGCGAAAUUGUUGACUUUUGUUGACCACUUUUGUGAAAUCCAGUCCCUGGAAUUUCACUAUUCAUUACAUAUCUCAUUAUUUAAAUUCGUAUUUAACGUUUUUGUUAUCUUUAUUAGUUAAUUUUAAUUCCAUUAAUUUAAGCAGUUAAAUCGAAUGAUUAUCGGGUUUGAAUUUUUGUAAUUAACCUUUAAAAUUCGUUGACCUUUCAAGGUCACAAGUAAUGUUUUCGAAUAUAUCUCAAAACCACAAACGCAUAGGAGAAAGUCGUUUGCAGGUCUGGAUUAUAACGGUAUAGUUACAGACGUUUGAAAUUGUUUUACUAAACUAUAGGUUUUGAAUUAAUUAAACUCCCACAAUGUGGGAAUGGGAACCAAUCAGAGGCUUAGUUUCAGCCUAAUCAGGUAUGUGUUGUUGAAGGGACCAAUCAAAUUAAAAAAGUGAUGGACCAAUCAAAAUUUGAGAAAAGAGGGUAGUAGCCAAUUAGGAAAAAGGGAUCCCUCCCCCUCCAUUCCCGUCGACCUAUGUACCCACGAAUGACCCGAUCUAAUUCUGGGUUCCUCUUUGAUGUGAAAUUUAUGUUGACACACAAAUUAACCCUCUUUUUAUCGAUUGUAGUAAGUAUGUAAGUAGGGAUCGUUCUAGGCCGGGGAUUAGGAGGGAUUGCUAAAUCACUUGAAAACUGACUCAAAUACGUAAAAACAAGUUUAAAACACUAAACUAGACUCAAAGAAUGCAAAACUAAACUUUAAAACACCAAAACAAACCAAAAGACUCAAACCAGCCCAGAAACACUCAAAACUGCCUUAAAACCACAAUCUGGGCAGUUUCUGACACUAAGGUAGAAUUUGGACGAAAAUUGAUUAUAACUUGACUCAAGACACUUAAAAACACAAACUAAAUUGAUUUCUAACUAAUAUGACUCAACAAAGAAAAGGGGGAUUGAUUUUGGACGAAUUUAACUUUUAAAACAAGAACUUUGAAAACAAACUUGACAAAAACGUUUUUAGGUAAAUUAAGAUGGUGAAAGGCUAGUUAGAAGGUUCCUUCUCCACACAUGAAACAUAUGCAUACGACUCGAUUUCCAAUUACUCUUUCAAUAAACCAUGAAUGACAAUGCCCCAAAUUAACUAGAUUGACCAAUUAAUUCUUAGAUUUCCCUAGAUUCAUUGAAUUGAAUGGGAUACGCAUUACAACCAAAUUAUUCUUAUCA